AGUGAACGCUGGCGGCGUGCCUAACACAUGCAAGUCGAGCGAUUCUCUUCGGAGAAGAGCGGCGGACGGGUGAGUAACGCGUGGGUAACCUGCCCUGUACACACGGAUAACAUACCGAAAGGUAUGCUAAUACGAGAUAAUAUACUGUUAUUGCAUGGUAGAAGUAUCAAAGCUCCGGCGGUACAGGAUGGACCCGCGUCUGAUUAGCUAGUUGGUAAGGUAACGGCUUACCAAGGCGACGAUCAGUAGCCGACCUGAGAGGGUGAUCGGCCACAUUGGAACUGAGACACGGUCCAAACUCCUACGGGAGGCAGCAGUGGGGAAUAUUGCACAAUGGGCGAAAGCCUGAUGCAGCAACGCCGCGUGAGCGAUGAAGGCCUUCGGGUCGUAAAGCUCUGUCCUCAAGGAAGAUAAUGACGGUACUUGAGGAGGAAGCCCCGGCUAACUACGUGCCAGCCGCCGCCGUAA
rnacentral:rRNA from 1 species